rnacentral:rRNA from 1 species
AGGGAAGAAACGGUCUUGGAUAAUACCUGGGGCUAAUGACGGUACNUGAAGAAUAAGCACCGGCUAACUACGUGCCAGCAGCCGCGGUAAUACGUAGGGUGCAAGCGUUAAUCGGAAUUACUGGGCGUAAAGCGUGCGCAGGCGGUUGUGUAAGACAGGUGUGAAAUCCCCGGGCUUAACCUGGGAAUGGCAUUUGUGACUGCACGGCUAGAGUGUGUCAGAGGGGGGUAGAAUUCCACGUGUAGCAGUGAAAUGCGUAGAGAUGUGGAGGAAUACCGAUGGCGAAGGCAGCCCCCUGGGAUAACACUGACGCUCAUGCACGAAAGCGUGGGGAGCAAACAGGAUUAGAUACCCUGGUAGUCCACGCCCUAAACGAUGUCUACUAGUUGUCGGGUCUUAAUUGACUUGGUAACGCAGCUAACGCGUGAAGUAGACCGCCUGGGGAGUACGGUCGCAAGAUUAAAACUCAAAGGAAUUGACGGGGACCCGCACAAGCGGUGGAUGAUGUGGAUUAAUUCGAUGCAACGCGAAAAACCUUACCUACCCUUGACAUGUACGGAACGCCUGAGAGAUCAGGUGGUGCUCGAAAGAGAACCGUAACACAGGUGCUGCAUGGCUGUCGUCAGC